rnacentral:snRNA from 1 species
UGUUUUGGAUCUUAGAUACA